rnacentral:rRNA from 1 species
UACAGAGGUCUCAAGCGUUGUUCGGAUUCAUUGGGCGUAAAGGGUGCGUAGGUGGCCAACUAAGUCAGACGUGAAAUCCCUCGGCUUAACCGGGGAACUGCGUCUGAUACUGGAUGGCUUGAGUUCGGGAGAGGGAUGCGGAAUUCCAGGUGUAGCGGUGAAAUGCGUAGAUAUCUGGAGGAAUACCGGUGGCGAAGGCGGCAUCCUGGACCGGCAUUGACGCUGAGGAGCGAAAGCCAGGGGAGCAAACGGG